rnacentral:rRNA from 1 species
AAGUCGUAACAAGGUUUCCGUAGGUGAACCUGCGGAAGGAUCAUUAUCGUACAACUGAGGUGCGAAGGCUGUCGCUGACCCUCAAGGGUUGUGCACGCCCGAGCGCUCUCACACAAUCCAUCUCACCUCUGUGCAUCACCGCGUGGGUCCCCUUUGCGGGAGGGCUCACGUUUUCACAUAAAACUCGAUACAGUGUAGAAUGUUUCUYUUGCGGUCACACGCAAUCAAUACAACUUUCAACAACGGAUCUCUUGGCUCUCGCAUCGAUGAAGAACGCAGCGAAAUGCGAUACGUAAUGUGAAUUGCAGAAUUCAGUGAAUCAUCGAAUCUUUGAACGCACCUUGCGCCCCUUGGCAUUCCGAGGGGCACACCCGUUUGAGUGUCGUGAAAUCUUCAAAACCCCCUUUUUUCUUUGAACCAUUGUGGUCGGAAAAAGGGAUUUUUGGACUUGGAGGUUUAAUGCUCGCCCUUUCUCUUGAAAGCGAGCUCCUCUCAAAUGAAUUAGUGGGGUCCGCUUUGCUGAUCCUUGACGUGAUAAAAUGUUUCURCGUUUUGGGUUURGCACUGUCCCUUGGAUGCCUGCUGCUAAMCGUCUCAUUGACAAUGAUGGUGCUCCGGUCACUGCCGUCUACAUCGGCGGGAGGCUGGACCCACAAAAAGGAAACCUUGACCUCAAAUCGGGUGAGACUACCCGCUGAACUUAA